AGAUGCUGCGUAGCGUGCCCGACCCUGCAUUUCUCUCCUCUCCUGCAGAGACCUCCUGGAACAGAUCCCCGCGUGCCCCGCGCCUGCACGCCUGCGCACGCCCACUGGGGCGGGGCUCUCAGGCACGCGGACCGCCGUCCUCCAACAGCUCCUGGCGUCUGUUGGGGCAGUUGGCUUGGCUCCGGAAGACAGGAGCGCAUGCGCGAGCGCGGAGGUUGGGGCCCCAACGGCUGUCCGGCGGGGGCGGGGCCUGUCAUGGCCGCCUCUGGAGUCAAUUCCAGGAACCCUGAGUCUGAUACUCUCAGAUCAUGACGGAAUUGCAAGCAUAGUUUGGCUGGUGAUGCAAGAGUUCAGCAAAAAUCAACGAAAGGAUUAGGGAGUGCUGAUUCAGGUUAUUAAGGCUUUGCUUGAUGACACACCACUGCAGUGGUCUGGAACCAAAGCUGCAAUAUCUCCAAGGAGGCAGAAGGAGUAGCACAAGCAAAGCUGUGCAAGUUGGGAAUGACAGCCAUUUUCAAAAUCACAACAGUCACUUCCUGGGGCAUAACACCGUCUGAUAUCAUCUUACUGAGAGGGUGUCAGGUAAGACAUAAAUGCACGUCACUCCCAUCAUGGAGAACCAUUGAGGCAGAGCAUCCCUAUGGAAACUCAACCUGUGUUUUCACGUCUCUAGUCUCUCUCUCUCCGCUCUUGCUCGCUCUCCCCCUUUUUCCCUCACUCUCUAACAGUUUUAGCAGGAGAGGGAUCAGCGAGUCCCCUGCCCAGGACAGGGUGAGUAACUCACAUAAAAAGGGACAGGUUGCACAGCUUGGAGAAAGAGCUGGAAAACUGACACCCUCAGAGCAGGAGAGCCCAGCCCUGCUGGCACUCUGUGAAAGGCUACUUCUCUCCUCCCUGCAUUCAGAUGGAGACACACCAUCCAGCCCAAUAAAUGCCCCUUUGUGCUGGAUGGGUUUCCAUCAACUUAUGAGAUGUCUUUAAUGAGAGCUGGUUGUACUCUGCCCAGCCUCUGCCCAGCAACAGGCCUGCCAGCCUGGACACCGUAAGAGCCAGCAACAGGAGAUGGACGUUUUGGGGAGACUCCCCGGAGUUUUUAGCAUCUGCACAGUGCAGACAACAUCCAUGGGCUGGACAGGCAGCUGGCCCCAUGGAGAGGCCAGUGGGUCACAUGCAGGGCCUGGCUCUUGGACCUGCCUUGAAUAUGCAGCUGGAGGCCCCAGUGGUCUGGUGGUUCGGCCCCCAAGCAGUUGUGGCCCCAGAACCAGGCCCUAGGGUCAGCCAGCUCCCAUCCCACUCCAUGUCAGACCAGGAGGACACACCUGCUUCCUACCUGCUCCUAAAGGGACAAGGGUCCUUUCCUUGGGCAGGCCAAUUCACCCCUCAAACCUCCACACCCUCUCCCUUAGAUGGGAGGUAGCAGUUGUGGAAUUGAAAUGGAAUAUCUCAGCUUCCAAAUUCUUCUGAUCAGCCUUAGCUGAAAGCAAGGAAAGAACCAGGGGUUAGCCAACCAAACAGGAUUCAAGAGAAACUUGAAAGAAGAGGCUGUGGGGACCAACAUUUUCAGACCGAGAAGCACAGCCCAGGCAUUACAGCAGGCGAGCAGCGGCCAGAGGGCAAAAGGCAAGUUAAAGUAAAACCAUCUUGCUCCCUCACCUCGUUGCCCUACAGUUGUUCUUAGCAAACAAGGUCCUCUGGGAACUCCUGCUUUUGGAUGACAUAGGCUUUACCAGGAUGAAGGUGGCCUUGCUAUCUGUUGGACCAAAUCUGCUCAUCAACUGUGAGAAAUGACCGAUGACAGGACAUCACCUGGUCAUCGGGAACCCAGCCAGCAUGGAAACUGUGUCGGCUGACCCUGGAACCUAUACAGGAUCCCUCUUUAGGACUCUUUUCUUCACGGACUUAUGCAAGUAAAAUAACUAAAAAUGGUG